UGGUGACUGAUCAUCACCAUCGGGAGUGACUGAACAACCCUGUUGGAAUUAGGCGGGGUAAAGUAAAUGGUUAGAGGUGGUACUCGCCUUCCCUAAAGGAAGUGAACCCGCACCAAGGGAACCAUUGUUGUUAUGUACUAAUUUUCGCUUUAGCGAUUCCCAUAACUUGAGGGUAUGAAGUAUUCCCUCCUCUCACUCG
ncrna:unclassified sequences manA RNA